rnacentral:tRNA from 1 species
GGUUGUAGCUCAGUGGCAGAGCACUUUCCUUGCACGUGUGAGGCACUGGGUUCGAUCCUCAGGACCG